UUGUAAAGUAGCAACAUUCAAUAUGAACCCUUGAAUUUUUAUCUUUGGUACACAUGUCUAUUUUUUAGUUUAGGGGAAGACAGUUGUUUCCCACUUCUAUAUGUUCCUUCUACUUUUACUCUAUUACUAAUUUAUACAGAAUUGAUGGCUCUCUAAUUUCCAAUUGAUUAUUUCCAUUGUUGCUUGGUGAUCUCUACUUAUAUUUUUUUCUCAUCAGCUUUCUUCUAUAUAAAUAUUCUAUAUUAAGAUGUUCUAGUCAGUGAUUUAAAAAUAUGUUGUAUCGAUUGUUUAUAGGUGUGAAGAGACUCAGUGCUAAGAAAUUGGUUAUUCAAAGUUAUUACAAGUAUUGUCUAUGUAUAAAAGAAAAAGAAAAGUGAAAAUCAUACAUAUUUCAAGUGAAGAGAUAUAGAAGAAAAAAGCAUCCUGAAGGAAGUACCAUUAGAAGGAAUGAACAUUGAAGUAAUAUUAGAAGAAGUUUUUAUUAGUUCUGGAGGUACUAUUUUCUUAUUGAGGAUGCUAUUAGUACAUCGCGAAUCUACUAAUGCUAAGGUAUCUAUUUUGUGUUUUCCUAAUUGAAGUCUUGUUAAUACUAUAACAGUAUUUUUUUUUAUCUUCAUUGCAUAUUAAGGUGUUAAAUUCUUCAUUCAUUAAUUCUUAUAUCUUCUAUAUUAAAAUUUCUUUGUCCUUUGCUUCCUGUCUUAGAAUAUAAUGGUCCUACAAGUUUUCCUAAAUCUUUAAUAAAUGGUCUGACAUAGUUUAUUAUUUCUAAAAAAAUUUGUAAGUCUUUUAAACUAUUUAAUCUAUUUGGCAUAUCUAAGAUUUUUUUGGCUAUAUGAGGUUGUAGUUUAAUUUUUCCUUCUCCUAAUAUAAUUCCUAAAAAAAUUAUAUAAUUUUUACAUAAUUUCAUUUUCUUUUUACUAAUUAUUAUUCCAUUAUUAACAAAUAACCUAAACACCGUUUGUAAAUGUCCUAAAUGUUCUUUUAUAUCCUUUCUGAAUACUAAUAUAUCAUCUACUAUACUAAGACAAACCUUUUGUAUUCUCCGAAUAUUUUAUUCAGUUUUCUUUGAAAAAUUGGAGGCGCAGUUUUUAAACCAAAUGACAUGACUAACCAUUCAAAAUGUCAUUCUAGACAUGUAAGAUUGUCCAUUCAAUAUUAUCCGGAUGCAUUUUUAUCUGCCAAGACCCUGAUUUACAAUCAAACUUACUAAAUAUUCUUUUUCCUUGUAUUCUAUUUAUUAGUUCUAUUUUAUCUGGUAAUUUAUAUCCGUUUGUUUUAAUGUUAUCGUUUAGUCUUUUAUAAUUUAUUACCAUUCUAGCUUUUCCUCUCACUAUUUUAUUAUGAUUUCUUACCAUAAAUGCUGCCGAUCUAUGUUUUGAGGUUGAUCUUUUUAUUACUCCUAACUCUAAUAGUUCUUUAAUUUGUGUACUAAAAUCUUCCAGAUCUUGAUUAGUUGCUUCUAUCGCAGCAGCUUUUAUUAUGUAUUCAGGGUUUAUAAUGUCUAGUUUACACACAAUUUUGUUAUUUUUCCAAUGUUUUAAGGGCAUUUCACCUGUUAUUUCUAUUUGAUAUAGAAUUUUUAUAAUAUUGUCUAAGUCUUGUUGGUUUUUUAUUUUUCCUAUUUUCUGAUUUCCUGUUUUGAAAUUAUAUAAUUUUGUUGCUAUUUCUAUUAAAACAUAAUUUUUGUCUAAAUUAUCCAAUUCUUCUAAUUCUUCUAUUUCUGAUUAAUUUUCAGAUAUUAUAUUACAACCAUUUUCACUA